GGGCCGCUAGCUCAGCAGGUAGAGCAACGCCCGUUUAAGGCGUGGGUCGACAGUUCGAAUCUGUCGCGGCUCA
rnacentral:tRNA from 1 species